AAGCCGAAAGCUUCCGCUCGCCUUUCCCCUCGCCCGCCGGGCACCAAAAGAGGCGCGCGCACGCCGGAGGCCGCCGCCGCGAAUUAAUGACCGAACGCGCGCCUCCAGUAAUGGACUCGUAGGCCCGGACCAAAGGGUGGCGCGCGGCCCCGACGCCCACGACGCCCGCGGCGGAGCGGAACCCCGUAGCGCCGCUGACCGGCGCAACCGGCGCGUUUAAUGGCUAAUUGCGCCUUAAUUCGGCGCCGCCGUUGGGGCGCUCCGGGCCACAGCCCCGGGGGACGACGACGACGGACGCGUCGCAGCUGGCCGCUCCUCGCCGGACCACACGCGCUGAGGACGCUGCGGGGACCGGCCGGACGCCGACGACCUGGGCGCUCGCCUCCUGCGGAGAUUCGACGAGCACGGCGGCGACGCGGCGCGAACGUCCACGACGUCCGCGCCUUGUGAGGGCCGAGAGGAAGGGGAACGUCCCUCGCCGGCAGCCUAUAUAUGAAAGAUGGCGGCGCCUCGACACCCGACGAAUAGCCAAUGAGGGCUGACCCUUGGAAUGCGCCGUCUCGACGCGGGAAAUUCGGCUAGCGAACAGGGAAAGCAAGGGAGCGACUGGCCUGCUGCUGCGGUACGGCCGUGGCCGGCGGCGGCGACCACCGCCGGACAGAUGUCCUGACCGAGAGCCGUUGGACACCGAGCCACCUGGGCUGUACGUCGCCGGAGGCCAGAAAGGAAACGGAGCGAGGCGAGGAGGAGGGGGAGGGAAGCGGCGGGACAGCGACCCGAGGCGAGCCCCACCCGCGGUGCCCUGGUCACUGGGCCGCAGGCGGGCGUCCUUGGCCGAGGCCGUUGUCCGACGCGGCUUCCCCCACCGACGCCGCUCCAGAGGCGCGCAAGGGCUUUCCUGCAGGCGCGGUCACCCUGCGACUCUUAUAACUCCUGAGGAAAUUCUAUGUGCGUGUUUCCUCCACCGCAUUACGUCGCCGCUACCACGAACCGAAGCUUUCUGCCUUGGAUCGCGUUUGAUCAACUGGCCUCCGCGACAAACAUACCAAGAUCGUGUAUCACCUAGGUGACAAGGGACUCGGGCGGUGGCUACACGCGCCGCUGGCUGGGAGAGCAACGCAGCUCACUGCUGUAGUUAAUGGAGACAUACUUCGACGACCCCGCUUCGAGUUAUGCUCGGUGUCCUAUUUGUAAACAGGAUAUGCAGCUCCACAUGUGCGUGCCAUUAUACAGUUUAUUUGUCCCUUC
rnacentral:lncRNA from 1 species